rnacentral:lncRNA from 8 species
CCUGUCUACCACUACAACCCACUAUCAGCCUGUCUACCAGUACAACCCACUAUCAGCCUGUCUACCAGUACAACCCACUAUUAGCCUGUCUACCACUACAUUCUACUAUCAGCCUGUCUACCACUACAUUCCACUAUCAGCCUGUCUACCACUAGAACCCACUAUCAGCCUGUCUACCACUAGAACCCACUAUCAGCCUGUCUACCACUACAACCCACUAUCAGCCUGUCUACCAGUACAACCCACUAUCAGCCUGUCUACCAGUACAACCCACUAUCAGCCUGUCUACCAGUACAACUCACUAUCAGCCUGUCUACCACUACAACCCACUAUCAGCCUGUCUACCAGUACAACCCACUAUCAGCCCGUGUACCACUACAACCCACUAUCAGCCCGUCUACCACUACAACCCACUAUCAGCCUGUCUACCACUACAACCCACUAUCAGCCUGUCUACCACUACAACCCACUAUCAGCCUGUCUACCACUACAACCCACUAUCAGCCUGUCUGCCACUACAAACCACUAUCAGCCUGUCUACCACUACAACCCACUAUCAGCCUGUCUACCACUACAACCCACUAUCAGCCUGUCUACCACUACAACCCACUAUCAGCCUGUCUACCAGUACAACCCACUAUCAGCCUGUCUACCAGUACAACCCACUAUCAGCCUGUCUACCAGUACAACCCACUAUCAGCCCGUCUACCAGUACAACCCACUAUCAGCCCGUCUACCAGUACAACCCACUAUCACCCUGUCUACCACUACAACCCACUAUCACCCUGUCUACCACUACAACCCACUAUCAGCCUGUCUACCACUACAACCCACUAUCAGCCUGUCUACCACUACAACCCACUAUCAGCCCAUUCCUUUCCAGGGGGAAAGAUGAAGAAAGAGGAGAAGUUUGAGAAGAAGGCAGGAGCAACCCUGAAGGAGGAGAAGAAAGGAGGGAGUGUCAAAGAGAAGGAGGAGAAGAAGGGAGCAGCCAAGCCUGCUGUGAAGGAGAAACCAGUGGAGGUGGAGCGUCCGGGCAGUAAGAAGAAGGGUCGUGAGGAGGUCGUGGUAGGGGGCAAGCGUCCUGGAGGUAAACCUGGUAAAGAACCAGGCAGAGAGCCCUCCUCCACCACAACCAGCCCUGAGAGUGACUACCAGGACCACCACACUGACUCUACUGUAGAGCCUGAACUACAGGACAAAUACAGGAGACAGCUGCACCAACAGGUGUAUAUUCUAAUGGAAGGCUUAGUGGACUCUGUGUGUGCUGUUGGAUGAGUCUGCAGAGGGAAAGGCCUGAGCUGAGACACACACACACACACACACACACAGCUCUCUGAUCACACUAUAAUAAAUUCCACUCUUCCCUAACACACACAUUUGUACAGAGAAUCCAUCACAGGUGCAGAGGUUUAUUUCCUCACUAUGACGUCAAUAAACUUGCUUUGUGAACUUACUAUCUUUGUUUACUUCCUAUGACUGUGAGAUGUGGUUGUCAUACAUAGCUACUUCACUCACACGCUGAUUCUGCAUCGGAGGAGCAUGGGUUAAACGCUGACUGCAUGCUACCCACUACCCAGUAUCCACCCUCAUCCCGCCCCCUCGCUCUCCCUCUCACAGCUGUGUGUACGAGUACCUGCCAUGCGUGCGUGUGUGAGUGGGCGCGUGAGUGUGCCAUGCCGUUGGUUGUCCAAUGCGGAUUUCACAGUUGCUGCCCGCCUCGUGUCUCGCAACUUCACCCGAAAAGGAACAGACUACGAGUCCCUUCGGAAUUCCACUGCCGUUCCACGCACGGGGCUGAAGCAUGGCAUUCUGCUUGUCUGUCCUCAUUCGGGAAUAGCCUACCGAUAGCUCCCUUACUCGCUGCCUCUGUGCUACGGUUCAGUGCUGCUGAUACCGGUGGUUUAGUACUGCUGGGGGAAUACCGACACUGCAGAGAGAGGGAAGGAGCGGAGAGGAGGAUGGUGCCUGGUGUAGGAGGAGGGAGGUGAUCAUGGCAGAGGUAAGCGGAACGGACAGAAUGCGGUAAACUAAACACAUAGGACACCUGGGUUUUUAGGCUACCGCGACAUAAAAAAGAAAACAAAAUACUGCGAUUUUUAAACAUAGCCAAAGUUUUUUAUUACUGAAACUUGGAUGAUUUCGAUAGGCUAUUAGUUCGUUUGACA